CGCGGCCUAUCAGCUUGUUGGUGAGGUAAUGGCUCACCAAGGCGACGACGGGUAGCCGGCCUGAGAGGGUGACCGGCCACACUGGGACUGAGACACGGCCCAGACUCCUACGGGAGGCAGCAGUGGGGAAUAUUGCACAAUGGGCGCAAGCCUGAUGCAGCGACGCCGCGUGAGGGAUGACGGCCUUCGGGUUGUAAACCUCUUUCAGUAGGGAAGAAGCGAAAGUGACGGUACCUGCAGAAGAAGCGCCGGCUAACUACGUGCCAGCAGCCGCGGUAAUACGUAGGGCGCAAGCGUUAUCCGGAAUUAUUGGGCGUAAAGAGCUCGUAGGCGGUUUGUCGCGUCUGCCGUGAAAGUCCGGGGCUCAACUCCGGAUCUGCGGUGGGUACGGGCAGACUAGAGUGAUGUAGGGGAGACUGGAAUUCCUGGUGUAGCGGUGAAAUGCGCAGAUAUCAGGAGGCACACCGGUGGCGAAGGCGGUUCUCUGGGCAUUACCUGACGCUGAGGAGCGAAAGUGUGGGGAGCGAACAGGAUUAGAUACCCUGGUAGUCCACACCGUAAACGUUGGGCGCUAGGUGUGGGGUCCAUUCCACGGAUUCCGUGCCGCAGCUAACGCAUUAAGCGCCCCGCCUGGGGAGUACGG
rnacentral:rRNA from 1 species